rnacentral:rRNA from 1 species
ACUACGGGAGUCAGCAGUGGGGGAUAUUGCACAAUGGGGGGAACCCUGAUGCAGCGACGCCGCGUGGGUGAAGAAGCGCCUCGGCGCGUAAAGCCCUGUCAGCAGGGAAGAAAAUGACGGUACCUGAAGAAGAAGCCCCGGCUAACUACGUGCCAGCAGCCGCGGUAAUACGUAGGGGGCAAGCGUUAUCCGGAUUUACUGGGUGUAAAGGGGGCGCAGACGGCGAUGCAAGCCAGGAGUGAAAGCCCGGGGCCCAACCCCGGGACUGCUCUUGGAACUGCGUGGCUGGAGUGCAGGAGGGGCAGGCGGAAUUCCUGGUGUAGCGGUGAAAUGCGUAGAUAUCAGGAGGAACACCGGUGGCGAAGGCGGCCUGCUGGACUGCAACUGACGUUGAGGCCCGAAAGCGUGGGGAGCAAACAGGAUUAGAUACCCUUGUAGUC